rnacentral:rRNA from 1 species
AGAGCGAACGCUGGCGGCAGGCUUAACACAUGCAAGUCGAGCGGGCGUAGCAAUACGUCAGCGGCAGACGGGUGAGUAACGCGUGGGAACAUACCUUUUGGUUCGGAACAACACAGGGAAACUUGUGCUAAUACCAGAUAAGCCCUUACGGGGAAAGAUUUAUCGCCGAAAGAUCGGCCCGCGUCUGAUUAGCUAGUUGGUGGGGUAAUGGCCCACCAAGGCGACGAUCAGUAGCUGGUCUGAGAGGAUGAUCAGCCACAUUGGGACUGAGACACGGCCCAAACUCCUACGGGAGGCAGCAGUGGGGAAUAUUGGACAAUGGGCGCAAGCCUGAUCCAGCCAUGCCGCGUGAGUGAUGAAGGCCCUAGGGUUGUAAAGCUCUUUUGUGCGGGAAGAUAAUGACGGUACCGCAAGAAUAAGCCCCGGCUAACUUCGCGCCAGCAGCCGC